AUUUGGCAAAGCAAAAAUAAAUUUGUUUACAAAUUUUACAUCUCUCUCUUAUAGUUUAUGAAAUUACAAGAGAGAUAUAUAAGAUUUUAGAAAAAUAUUAGAAUCACCAUGUCCGAUAAAGAUAUGACAAAAUAACCAAAAUAAACUCUGUAUAUCUUGAGAAGUUAUGAAAUUUUGUAAUUUGCAACUUUUUCAUUUGAGUUCAUCUUGUCAUGCAAAACCGCGUUUUUAAUUGAAAAUUUUAAAAUUUGAAUUUUUUAAGCAACCUCGGAUGGAAAAGAUCUCUAAAUAAACUUUGUAGAUCUCAAAAAGUUAUGAAACUUUGUAGUCGACAACUUUUUAUUUUGGAAUCAUCUUGUCAUGCAAAAACUACGUUUGAAUUUCUUAAAUUUAAAAUUCAAAAUUUGUAAACGACCUCGGAUGGAGAAACUCCCUAAAUAAAAAUUGUAGAUCCUAAAAAGUUAUGAAACUUUGUAGUUGACAAAUUUUUGAUUUGAAAUCAUUUAGGACCUUAAAUAAUCAUUUUACAUAUAAUUUGGUAUAAUAUUUGAGGAACCGAAAUGCAAUAUAAGCACAAGUCAUAAUGUGGUGCAGUGGUUAAGAGUGGAGACGCGCGAGCGAUAGGUCACGAGUUCGAAUCCCGUAGACCGCAAAGACGCAAAAAAAUCCAGAACUUAGCUGGCAAGAAGAAGCCGGUGGGCGUUGGCCUCCUGAAAAAAAAAUGUAGCAUCCGGGAGAUACCCACCGCGACUAAAGUCACCGGGCCAACAGCUUCGGUCGCAGGCUUUUGCAGCACAACAGGACAUCUUUAGUCCCGGACGGUAACCGGGACUAAAGGUCAUCACUUAGGGAUAGUAUAAUACUUGAAAUGUAUUAUCAUAACGCACAGUCCCGGACGGUAACCGGGACUAAAGGUCAUCACUUAGGGACAGUAUAAUACUUGAAAUGUAUUAUCAUAAUAUGCGCACGUAUACAUAUAGAUUAGGGCGUAGAAUGCUUAUUCGAAAAUAUGUUUUAAAACCAAAAUGAAUAAUGAAAUGAAAAGGAGACCAAAAAAGAAAAAAAAAGAGAUACGUUUAGUCCCGGUUUGUAACACCAAUCGGGACUAAGGUGUGCUAUGUGGCGGCCCA
rnacentral:lncRNA from 1 species